CCUGUCCUGAAUACAUUAGAGCCUCUCCCGUUCCUCUCUCUCUUUCUCUCACAUACUCACUCUCUCAGUGGCUCAGACCAGCUGAACAAUGCAUAGUCCAGGCACUAGGCGUCUAUGGAAGGGAGAGCGAGAAUAGAGCAAGAGAGGAGGGGAGAGAGGGCAGAAUACAUUUUUGUAUGCGGGUAGACUUACAUGUGUAGUCGACUCCGCAUCUCAUUUUUCGGGGAUAAUCUUUGAGGGAACACACAGAGACCAUGGCGAAGAGAGGAGAGGAGUACAGAAGCUCUCGCUCUCUCCAUUACUAGUUUCAUUCUUUCAUUAUUGAAGCUCUCUCUCUCUUUCUUUCUGUGUUCAGCUCUAUUAGACCCUGUGUAUCAGCCGCCACAGGCAAGAAAAAAAUCGGACACGUCUUGUCUUCACAGGGGGGCGUGUAAGUCGUCUGUCAGAAGGCAAUCACGGAGUCCACAGCACUAUAUGUGGGAGCGCUGUGGUGAGGACAGGAGAAGGAGUAUGCAUGGAGGAUUGCACGGAUUGAGUUGUAAAAUACUGUACUUUGACUGUCUGCUCAAGGGACUCUCUCAUAUCGCUCAUGACAGUCGCUGUCUGAAGGCAGGAGAUAGUCAAGAAGGACGAGACAGAAAGGACCUGUGUCCCGAUGCUCUUCAAGACUUCCUUUCCUCAUCUCCUUUCUUUAUCUCCUUUCCUUGACCACCACUGUUAGAUGGAAGAACUGGUCAAAACUGUUUGUUAAACCACAUACUGUACUUCUAGAUAGAGAAGUCCGGGUAACUGUCUCCAGCAGUUACUUGGGGACUGUCUUUUCACAGUCCCAAUGUCCAAAACGAAUUCAAGGCAACUCACAGAAUUAUACAGAGAAUGAUCACAUGGAACUCUCCUCCAUCUCCAAUUACUCAAGCAAACAUCAAAAUGACCUUUAAAAAAACAGAUGAAGCCACAUCUUGGAAUGGUGGGGACUGUGAGGGGACACACACACACACCCAUUCACAGACACUCUAACACACACAAAAUGUUUUAGUUGUAUUGUUUGUGCAAUUUUUUUAUUUUAUUGUUUGUAUAUCGUUGUAUUUUACAAGACUGUCCUUGUCUUUCAGUGUAUCAGUGUUUGCUUCUGCAAAAAGCUAAUUAGGGGAUCCAAAUAAAGAAAUAAAAGAGAGAUGAAAAAUUAUUGCUAUACAAAAAAAACAUCACAUGAAUACAGUAGGUUUUCUUCAGGCUUUGCCUUGGGUAGUAUCUAUCAUUUUUCACUGUUUGGUAUGAAGUUGAAUGUUAUUUUAUGAAAUAAUCAUGUUAAUUUGGAUCAAUAAAUAUGCAA
ensembl:lncRNA